AACGAACGCUGGCGGCAUGCCUAACACAUGCAAGUCGAACGAGCCCUUCGGGUCUAGUGGCGCCCGGGUGCGUAACGCGUGGGAACCUGCCCUUAGGUUCGGACUAACUCCCCGACAGGGGUGCUAAUACCGGAUAAUGUCUUCUGACCAAAGAUUUAUCGCCUUUGGAUGUUCCCUCGUUGGAUUAGCUAGUUGUUAGGGUAAAAGCCUACCACGGCGACGAUCCAUAGCUGGUCUGAGAGAAUGAUCAGCCACACUGGGACUGAGACACGGCCCAGACUCCUACGGGAGGCAGCAGUGGGGAAUAGUGGACAAUGGGCGAAAGCCUGAUCCGGCAAUGCCGCGUGAGUGAUGAAGGCCUUAGGGUUGUAAAGCUCUUUUACCCGGGAUGAUAAUGACAGUACCGGGAGAAUAAGCUCCGGCUAACUCCGUG
rnacentral:rRNA from 1 species